GUCCAUGCCGUAAACGAUGUCUACUAGCCGUUGGGCCUUUGAGGCUUUAGUGGCGCAGCUAACGCGAUAAGUAGACCGCCUGGGGAGUACGGUCGCAAGACUAAACUCAAAUGAAUUGACGGGGCCCGCACAAGCGGUGGAGUAUGUGGUUUAAUUCGAUGCAACGCGAAGAACCUUACCUGGUCUUGACAUAGUAAGAACUUUUCCAGAGAUGGAUUGGUGCCUUCGGGAACUUACAUACAGGUGCUGCAUGGCUGUCGU
rnacentral:rRNA from 1 species